CCUACGGGGCGCAGCAGUGGGGAAUAUUGCGCAAUGGGCGAAAGCCUGACGCAGCGACGCCGCGUGAGGGAUGAAGGUCUUCGGAUCGUAAACCUCUGUCAGCAGGGAAGAACGGUCACUGUGCUAAUCAGCAGUGAAUUGACGGUACCUGCAAAGGAAGCACCGGCUAACUCCGUGCCAGCAGCCGCGGUAAUACGGAGGGUGCGAGCGUUAAUCGGAAUUACUGGGCGUAAGGCGCUCGUAGGCGGUAUGUCAAGUAAAGGGGGAAAUCCCCGGGGUCAAUGUGGGAACGGCAUUUGAAACUGGCAAACUGGAGUGUGUGAGAGGAGAGUGGAAUUCCAGGUGUAGGAGUGAAAUCCGGAGAUAUCUGGAGGAACAUCAGUGGCGAAGGCGACUAUCUGGCACAUAACUGACGCUGAGGAGCGAAAGCGUGGGUAGCAAACAGGAUUAGAUACCCGAGUAGUC
rnacentral:rRNA from 1 species